AUUUAAAUAGCUUAUAAUAAUUAGAGUAUAAUAUUGAAGAUAUUAAGGAAAUAAAUUUAUUUUUAAAUA
rnacentral:tRNA from 1 species